CCUACGGGAGGCAGCAGUGGGGACUAUUGCACAAUGGGGGAAACCCUGAUGCAGCGACGCCGCGUGAGUGAAGAAGUAUCUCGGUACGUAAAGCUCUAUCAGCAGGAAAGAAAAUGACGGUACCUGACUAAGAAGCCCCGGCUAACUACGUGCCAGCAGCCGCGGUAAUACGUAGGGGGCAAGCGUUAUCCGGAUUUACUGGGUGUAAAGGGAGCGUAGACGGCGCUGCAAGUCCGGAGUGAAAGACCAUGGCUUAACCAUGGUACUGCUCUGGAAACUGGAGAGCUUUAGUGCGGGAGGGGCAGGCGGAAUUCCUAGUGUAGCGGUGAAAUGCGUAGAUAUUAGGAGGAACACCGGCGGCGAAGGCGGCCUGCUGGACCGUAACUGACGUUGAGGCUCGAAAGCGUGGGGAGCAAACAGGAUUAGAUACCCCUGUAGUC
rnacentral:rRNA from 1 species